rnacentral:rRNA from 2 species
UUAAGUUAUUAAGGGCGCACGGUGGAUGCCUUGGCACUAGAAGCCGAUGAAGGACGUUACUAACGACGAUAUGCUUUGGGGAGCUGUAAGUAAGCUUUGAUCCAGAGAUUUCCGAAUGGGGAAACCCAGCAUGAGUUAUGUCAUGUUAUCGAUAUGUGAAUACAUAGCAUAUCAGAAGGCACACCCGGAGAACUGAAACAUCUUAGUACCCGGAGGAAGAGAAAGAAAAUUCGAUUCCCUUAGUAGCGGCGAGCGAAACGGGAAGAGCCCAAACCAACAAGCUUGCUUGUUGGGGUUGUAGGACACUCUAUACGGAGUUACAAAGGACGACAUUAGACGAAUCAUCUGGAAAGAUGAAUCAAAGAAGGUAAUAAUCCUGUAGUCGAAAAUGUUGUCUCUCUUGAGUGGAUCCUGAGUACGACGGAGCACGUGAAAUUCCGUCGGAAUCUGGGAGGACCAUCUCCUAAGGCUAAAUACUCUCUAGUGACCGAUAGUGAACCAGUACCGUGAGGGAAAGGUGAAAAGCACCCCGGAAGGGGAGUGAAAUAGAACCUGAAACCGUGUGCUUACAAGUAGUCAGAGCCCGUUAAUGGGUGAUGGCGUGCCUUUUGUAGAAUGAACCGGCGAGUUACGAUUUGAUGCAAGGUUAAGCAGUAAAUGUGGAGCCGUAGCGAAAGCGAGUCUGAAUAGGGCGUUUAGUAUUUGGUCGUAGACCCGAAACCAGGUGAUCUACCCUUGGUCAGGUUGAAGUUCAGGUAACACUGAAUGGAGGACCGAACCGACUUACGUUGAAAAGUGAGCGGAUGAACUGAGGGUAGCGGAGAAAUUCCAAUCGAACCUGGAGAUAGCUGGUUCUCUCCGAAAUAGCUUUAGGGCUAGCCUCAAGUGAUGAUUAUUGGAGGUAGAGCACUGUUUGGACGAGGGGCCCCUCUCGGGUUACCGAAUUCAGACAAACUCCGAAUGCCAAUUAAUUUAACUUGGGAGUCAGAACAUGGGUGAUAAGGUCCGUGUUCGAAAGGGAAACAGCCCAGACCACCAGCUAAGGUCCCAAAAUAUAUGUUAAGUGGAAAAGGAUGUGGCGUUGCCCAGACAACUAGGAUGUUGGCUUAGAAGCAGCCAUCAUUUAAAGAGUGCGUAAUAGCUCACUAGUCGAGUGACACUGCGCCGAAAAUGUACCGGGGCUAAACAUAUUACCGAAGCUGUGGAUUGUCCUUUGGACAAUGGUAGGAGAGCGUUCUAAGGGCGUUGAAGCAUGAUCGUAAGGACAUGUGGAGCGCUUAGAAGUGAGAAUGCCGGUGUGAGUAGCGAAAGACGGGUGAGAAUCCCGUCCACCGAUUGACUAAGGUUUCCAGAGGAAGGCUCGUCCGCUCUGGGUUAGUCGGGUCCUAAGCUGAGGCCGACAGGCGUAGGCGAUGGAUAACAGGUUGAUAUUCCUGUACCACCUAUAAUCGUUUUAAUCGAUGGGGGGACGCAGUAGGAUAGGCGAAGCGUGCGAUUGGAUUGCACGUCUAAGCAGUAAGGCUGAGUAUUAGGCAAAUCCGGUACUCGUUAAGGCUGAGCUGUGAUGGGGAGAAGACAUUGUGUCUUCGAGUCGUUGAUUUCACACUGCCGAGAAAAGCCUCUAGAUAGAAAAUAGGUGCCCGUACCGCAAACCGACACAGGUAGUCAAGAUGAGAAUUCUAAGGUGAGCGAGCGAACUCUCGUUAAGGAACUCGGCAAAAUGACCCCGUAACUUCGGGAGAAGAGGUGCUCUUUAGGGUUAACGCCCAGAAGAGCCGCAGUGAAUAGGCCCAAGCGACUGUUUAUCAAAAACACAGGUCUCUGCUAAACCGUAAGGUGAUGUAUAGGGGCUGACGCCUGCCCGGUGCUGGAAGGUUAAGAGGAGUGGUUAGCUUCUGCGAAGCUACGAAUCGAAGCCCCAGUAAACGGCGGCCGUAACUAUAACGGUCCUAAGGUAGCGAAAUUCCUUGUCGGGUAAGUUCCGACCCGCACGAAAGGCGUAACGAUUUGGGCACUGUCUCAACGAGAGACUCGGUGAAAUCAUAGUACCUGUGAAGAUGCAGGUUACCCGCGACAGGACGGAAAGACCCCGUGGAGCUUUACUGUAGCCUGAUAUUGAAAUUCGGCACAGCUUGUACAGGAUAGGUAGGAGCCUUUGAAACGUGAGCGCUAGCUUACGUGGAGGCGCUGGUGGGAUACUACCCUAGCUGUGUUGGCUUUCUAACCCGCACCACUUAUCGUGGUGGGAGACAGUGUCAGGCGGGCAGUUUGACUGGGGCGGUCGCCUCCUAAAAGGUAACGGAGGCGCUCAAAGGUUCCCUCAGAAUGGUUGGAAAUCAUUCAUAGAGUGUAAAGGCAUAAGGGAGCUUGACUGCGAGACCUACAAGUCGAGCAGGGUCGAAAGACGGACUUAGUGAUCCGGUGGUUCCGCAUGGAAGGGCCAUCGCUCAACGGAUAAAAGCUACCCCGGGGAUAACAGGCUUAUCUCCCCCAAGAGUUCACAUCGACGGGGAGGUUUGGCACCUCGAUGUCGGCUCAUCGCAUCCUGGGGCUGUAGUCGGUCCCAAGGGUUGGGCUGUUCGCCCAUUAAAGCGGUACGCGAGCUGGGUUCAGAACGUCGUGAGACAGUUCGGUCCCUAUCCGUCGUGGGCGUAGGAAAUUUGAGAGGAGCUGUCCUUAGUACGAGAGGACCGGGAUGGACAUACCUCUGGUGUACCAGUUGUCGUGCCAACGGCAUAGCUGGGUAGCUAUGUGUGGACGGGAUAAGUGCUGAAAGCAUCUAAGCAUGAAGCCCCCCUCAAGAUGAGAUUUCCCAACUUCGGUUAUAAGAUCCCUCAAAGAUGAUGAGGUUAAUAGGUUCGAGGUGGAAGCAUGGUGACAUGUGGAGCUGACGAAUACUAAUCGAUCGAAGACUUAAUCAA